AGGAAUGAGGUGGGGAUCUCCAGUGGUGACACCAAAGGGGAUGACUGCGUCACUGUGGUGAACUCCUCGAGCAUCAGCAGUGAAAAGGCAGGGACCCACUCAGAGGUGAUUCCACUGUCACGUUUGGAGAGUUGCUGUUUCUUUGAUUGG